rnacentral:rRNA from 1 species
AACCAACAGGGAUUGCCUUAGUAGCGAGCGAGUGAAGCGGCAAAAGCUCAAAUUUGAAAUCUGGCACUUUCAGUGUCCGAGUUGUAAUUUGAAGAAGGUAUCUUUGGGUCUGGCUCUUGUCUAUGUUUCUUGGAACAGAACGUCACAGAGGGUGAGAAUCCCGUGCGAUGAGAUGUCCCAGACCUAUGUAAAGUUCCUUCGAAGAGUCGAGUUGUUUGGGAAUGCAGCUCUAAGUGGGUGGUAAAUUCCAUCUAAAGCUAAAUAUUGGCGAGAGACCGAUAGCGAACAAGUACAGUGAUGGAAAGAUGAAAAGAACUUUGAAAAGAGAGUGAAAAAGUACGUGAAAUUGUUGAAAGGGAAGGGCUUGAGAUCAGACUUGGUAUUUUGUAUGUUACUCUCUCGGGGGUGGCCUCUACAGUUUACCGGGCCAGCAUCAGUUUGAGCGGUAGGAUAAGUGCAAAGAAAUGUGGCACUGCUUCGGUAGUGUGUUAUAGUCUUUGUCGAUACUGCCAGCUUAGACUGAGGACUGCGGCUUCGGCCUAGGAUGUUGGCAUAAUGAUCUUAAGUCCCCGC